UGCGUAGGUGGUUUCUUAAGUCAGAGGUGAAAGGCUACGGCUCAACCGUAGUAAGCCUUUGAAACUGGGAAACUUGAGUGCAGGAGAGGAGAGUGGAAUUCCUAGUGUAGCGGUGAAAUGCGUAGAUAUUAGGAGGAACACCAGUCGCGAAGGCGGCUCUCUGGACUGUAACUGACACUGAGGCACGAAAGCGUGGGGAGCAAACA
rnacentral:rRNA from 1 species